AAUAACGAUUCUUGAAUCGAGGGUUUUGUUUCGUCCCACAUAAAGGUCACAAAAAAAGUGUCAACAAUAGCUUCUAUAAUUUAGCAUUCCCGCUAACUCUAACAUUCAUUCACUCUCGCACUACAAUUCUAUCUUGCUCCACUUACUCAACACUCUUUCUACGAUCAAUUCUGCAAAUUUGCGUUGUUUUGCAGUUACAAGAAUGUUGAUACCACUUUCAAUUGUAGAUGAUGUUGCUAUCGUUGAUUUAGGUCAACAGCAUCACCGCCACAACAUGUUACCUGUGUAUGUACUCUUUGAUUCUCGUACCAUGUCUCACAACCACAACAAUGUUCCAACAAGAUUAAUGUCUCACAAUCACAACAGUGUUUCAUCAAGAUUAACUUCACCAACCGUGUCUGUGGUAGAUGAAACUGUUCUCUAUGAUUUUCCUAUCGGCAAUGUUCCAAGAAGAUCAAGGAUUCAUCCAUCAUGGUCAAUUAAUCAUCAAACGGGUCACCACCACCACCACCACAAUGGUACUCGAGCUUCUCCGGCUGUGAUCGGUGUUCAGAAUACUAGAGCUUUUGGUGCUCAAGAUACUUGUCAACAUGUCACAACAUCAACAACAGAUGCAGAAUCCAUCUGUUGCAUUUGUCUUGUUCACUUGUCUAAUGGUUCUUCCACGCCAAUCCGGCUGCUCUGCUCUCAUGAUUUUCAUACCGACUGCAUUCAAAAAUGGAUCAACAUUAAGAAAACUUGUCCACUUUGUCGCGCCAAUGUUUAAUUUUCAUAUAUUUAUGUGUUGAUGAUUUAUAAAAAUGUUUCCUUUCUUUUGUUAUUUUCCAUGUUUUGGUUUGAUGAUUUUCCAUGUUUAGGUUUGAAUCGCUUGGAUUACCACACAUUCCUUCAAGCCCUCUGAGGUAAGUUUUUGUUGGGUUGCUAUUACCUAUGAUACAUCAUGUGUCUUGCAGUUUUGUUUGUUAGUAUAGGUUCUACAUAAAACAUGUGUGCUCUGUCUUUGUGUGCAAACCUGUCUUUUUUAUGUAUCUUUUCUUUAUUCUUUGUGUCAAUAUGUGAUACACCGCAUAUGUUAUAAGUGAUUUUGCUUGCGAAUAUUUAGAACUAUGCUUCUGUCCUUGCAAUCAUCCAGUUUUAAAGUUGUGAACAGAUGCUGAAUAACUAUGUUUAUGUUGUCUAUUAGGCAAGGCCUAUAAAAGAUUCAAUUUAAGGUUAAAAUAACAGUAAAGGUUUUGUUUCAUUUUGUCUCUUAUCAAUUAUCAUAUGCUUGUUUGGUUUGAUGGAUUAUGGAAAGUAACAACUAUUUUGUUACAAUGGAGAAGGUGUGGGAUCUUAAUAUGGAUUAUAGCUUACGGGUCACGUAAGCAUGCUUUUAUGAUUCUUACUAGUUAUGAUUCUAUGGUAAAUAUCAGAAGCAAUGAAGAUAAGAAAAGGUUAAACAUUACUUUGCCUGGACUUGGGCUCAACUCAAAGAUAUUCAGAGAUCAAUUCUUGGCCAGGGAAGUUUUGUAUAAGAUGCAACUUGUUUAGACCUGAAUGUGAUGAGAUAUUCAGUUUGAAUCACAACAGUAGAAUAAACAUGCUUCUCAAUUUUUUUUUAAUAUUUAAAUUUUGGAUGCUUCUGUACUUGUGUGAUAUCUGAAAAUUUUGGAAGAUUUGCAGUGGUAGAGUUGCGGCAAUUUUGAAGCAACCUCCGCCACUUAAUUUUACCACAGUAGUUGCAAUUUAUUAAAUAAUCUGGAACCUCCGCCAAUUAAUUUUUUACCACGGGAACUCAAUUUUCUAUUCGGUUAGGCUAAUCAUAGUGACUUUGGGAAAACAAAAUUAAAUUCAAGUAAGAUUGCAAGUUUAACAGUGUCUGAACUUUUUGUCAAAUUUAGAUGGGUUUCUUCUUUGAAACCAACAAGUUAGAUGUGAUUCAAAUACACAUUUACUGGAAAUGUGACUGUUGGUGAUGUUACUUUGUUGAUUCCUUCGUAUUGUGUCCAACAAGUUAGAUGUGAUUCAAAUACACAUUUCAUAUUGUUCAAUUCAGGUUGGUAGGAAGUGAAGUGCUUCAUAGAUCAACUCAAGUCUCGCCAACCAAGGUGAUUCCAUUUCAUUUAUCUUUACUUUUUAUAUUUUAUGAUUUCAUUUCAUAUUUGUUUUAUGUACCAGCUAUACUUGUUCACCCUUUUCACAAGGGUUCAGGAGGGUUCUAAAUCUCUUAAGUUCAAAUUUUCUAUUGUUUAUUGUGCAUGAAUAGAAGAAUCAUUGAGUCUGAUUUCUGAAAAUGGAGAAGAAUUAGUCAUGGUAUAACAAUUGUGAGCAGUGCAAUUGUAUUUUAAGAAAAUGACCUUUUGUGACCUUUUCUCAUCAGCAACAGAUUUUGAAACACUCUCCAUGACCUUGCAUCUUCUUGCAACAUACUCAGAUUCUACUCUCGUUUGGGUGAGAGAUCUAAGUUUUCCCUUCCUGCUGGUCUUGAGCCUUUGUCUAAUAAAUUAAGGUACUUGCAUUGUAGUGCAUAUCCCUUGAAGUUUCUACCAUCAGCUUUUUCUCCUGAGAAACUUGUUGAGCCUUACAUGCCAAACAGCCGUUUUCAAAGAUUAUGGGACGUAGUGUAGGUUUGUGGCUUGAAAUAUAUGAAACUAAUUUAUACAUUGUAUUAUAUGUGAUCAAAGUAUUUUUGGUUUGUUAAUUUAAAGAAAAUGGACCUCAGCUGUUGUGAGCACUUGAUAGAGCUUCCUGAUUUCUCCAUGUAUCACAUCUCCAAUACAUUAACCUCUGGACGUGGAAGGCUGUGUCAUGUUCAUACAUCUACUUUAGCGCUCCAAAUCUUGUCAAUUUAAACUGGGCUUGGUGCAAAAAGCUCAAGAGUCUUAUAAGCAAUUCCUCUUUAAACUUUGCGAAUUCUCAAGCUCUAUGGCUGCUCAAGUCUCAAGGAAUUUUCUGUGAUAUCUACAAAUGACAGUUGUUGGAUUUAAGAUGAUGCAUUGCUAUCAAUGAAUUGCGACAGGCAUACGUUGAGUACCUUGGAAGUGUUGUGAACUUGGAGCUGAGUAGCUAUGGGAACCUUAGAUAUCUUCCAAAUGAAUUCUCAUGCUCGAAAUUCUGAUUGCAUGCUACUUGACAUAUCAAAUGGCCGGCAUUCUUUAGGAUACUUUAGUCUGGACAACGGUUGUAAUCUGACUGAACUACUUCACAAGAACAACAGUCUGUUAACAUCAUUAUAUUAUUUAUCACUCACUGGAAUCAAUGUGAAGAACAUUCCUAUAAGCAUCAAGCAUCUUUCACAGCUAGAAUCUCUUGACUUGUUCAAAUGCAUGAGCAUUUAGUCUUUACUAGAACUCCCACCAUCAUCCGUUGAAGUGUUGGAUGUCACCAACUGCACAUCCUUGAAGACCAUCUUCAUGUCUCCAUGGUCUCCUGUUAUUGAUGAACUAUUACUCCCGAAAUGUUAAUGUUUAUGUUUGAGUUCCUUAUCUUCUUUUAGAAUAAUUCCUAUUUAUUAUGGAAGUAGACAAUAGGUUGUUCAUUCAUAUUUCAAAAUCUAUAGACAUGAUCAACAUAAUAAAAGACUGCAAAGAUUUGAAAGUUAUAUCAUAUUUGAGGCUGCUUGGAACCAUAGAGCAACAGAGUAGGAAAUCAGCUGCCCAAAACAUUAUUAGAAAACAUUUUAAAGGAAAUCAACAAGACAUGACACUAUAGGAAAAGCCAAAUUCAAGAAAUUCAAUUUCUCUCACAGAUUCCAAAGAAUCUUCUCAAUCCAAGUCAAACCUCUUCCUAUAGUUAACAACAUACUCAUACACCUCUUUCUCAUCAGCAACAGAUUUGGAAACACUCUCCCUUUGUUUGCAUCUCUUUGCCCAAGCAAUCAGCUUAUCACACUCUGC